GACGAACGCUGGCGGCGUGCCUAAUACAUGCAAGUCGAGCGAGCGGCGGACGGGUGAGUAAUGUAUGGGGACUGCCCGAUAGAGGGGGAUAACUCCCGGAAACGGUAGCUAAUACCGCAUACUACAGGAUAACCCAUAUGGGAUUAGCUAGUAGGUGAGGGAAUGGCGCACUUAGGCGACGAUGCCUAGCUGGUCUGAGUGGAUGAACAGCCACAGUGGGACUUGGAAACGGCCCAGACUCCUACGGAGGCAGCAGUGGGGAAUAUUGCACAAUGGGCGCAAGCCUGAUGCAGCCAUGCCGCGUGUAUGAAGAAGGCCCUAGGGUUGUAAAGUCCUUUCAGUCGGGAGGCGUUACCGACAGAAGAAGCACCGGCUAACUCCGUGCCAGCAGCCGCGGUAAUUC
rnacentral:rRNA from 1 species